AAUAGACUGUGAGGUAUAUAUGGAGCAACCGGAAGGUUUUGAGAUCAAGUCAAAAACAGGGGAACACUUAGUGUGUAAACUCAACAAGUCACUGUAUGGUUUAAAACAGUCCGGGCGUAACUGGAACAUGUUACUGCAUGAUCACCUUACAGAGAAUGGUUUUGUGCAAAAUGAUGCUGAUCAUUGUGUCUACAGCAGAAAAUCUGAGAAGGAGAAAGUGAUUCUGUUAGUAUGGGUAGAUGACUUAAUCAUAGCAGCGAGUAACAACACCUUACUCAGUGAUGUAAAAGAAAUAUUGAAGAGAAGGUUUAAGAUGAAAGAUAUGGGUCCACUUAAACACUUCCUGGGUAUCGAUUUCAGACAGAGUGAGGGAGAGAUCAAAAUGACUCAAAAGAGACACGUAGAGAAGAUAUUAGCGAAAUUUGGAAUGUCUGAAUGCAAACCGAGAUCCACCCCAUGUGAGCAAAAGUUAAACUUCGACAGUGAGGGUGAAGUUAUUGAUUCAACAGGAUAUAGAGAGAUAGUAGGUAGCUUGAUAUACAUUAUGACAUGUACCAGACCUGACCUGAGCUGGGUUGUUAGUAAACUAUCUCAAUACCUAGCAGAACCAAAGCAACAGCAUUGGGCUACAGCAAAACACAUAUUGAGGUACUUAAAGGGUACUAUGGAUCAAGAACUACACUACCAGAAAUGUGAGGAAAGCCUACUACAGCUGGAGGGAUAUAGUGAUGCUGAUUGGGCAGCUGAUAAGGAUGAUAGGAGGAGCACAAGUGGAUACUGUUUCAGCUUAACUGAGAAUGGUCCAGUUAUAUCGUGGAAGAGUAGGAAACAGCCAACGGUGGCAUUAUCCACCUGCGAAGCUGAGUAUAUGGCACUAGCAGCCACUACUCAAGAGAGUAUGUACCUUGUACAACUACUUAAAGGGAUUGAUAGUAGUAACCAGCAUAUACCAGUCAAGAUAUAUGAGGACAACCAGGGGGCGAUAGCUUUAUCUAAGAACCCAGUAUGCAGACAGAGAAGCAAACACAUCGAUAUAAAGUAUCACUUUGUACGGUCUGCACACGCAGAAGGUAAAAUAUCUAUAGAAUACUGUCCUACUGCAGACAUGGUAGCUGAUGUACUUACCAAGCCAGUGACAAAGGCUAAGUUUGAGAGUUUCAAGGGAUAUUUGUUUGGAGAGUAAUGUGAACUGACAG
rnacentral:lncRNA from 1 species